rnacentral:rRNA from 1 species
AAACUCCGCAAUGGGCGAAAGCCCGACGGGGUUACCCCGAGUGCCACCCUCGUGGUGGCUUUUGCCCGCUCUAAAAAGGCGGGCGAAUAAGGGGAGGGCAAGUCGGGUGUCAGCCGCCGCGGUAAUACCCGCUCCCCGAGUGGUGGAGGCUAUUACUGGGCCUAAAGCGCCCGUAGCCGGCCCGGUGUGUCCCUCGUUAAAUCCACGGGCUUAACCCGUGGGCUGCGGGGGAUACUACCGGGCUUGGGGGUGGGAGAGGCGCCCGGUAUUCCCGGGGUAGGGGUAAAAUCCUCUGAUCCCGGGAGGACCAUCAGUGGCGAAGGCGGGCGCCAGAACACGCCCGACGGUGAGGGG